UGUAGGGGCUGGCAUAUGAUGGGUGUGUAUCUCUCUUAGAAGUGCUUCUUUGCUUCCAGAGUCUUUUGAGAGCUCAAACGUCUGGACAACAUUAUGCAGUCUCUGUUCCUGUCUCAUACUACAUCAAGCAUCCAGGGUCUCUCCACAAUCCAUGCCUACCACAAAGGACAGGAGUUUCUACACAGUUAACAGGGUUAUUCCAAUUGACAGUUAGACUUGCUUCAGAGUCAGAAGCUCACCUCACCUCAGUGGAGAGGAUUGAUCACUGUGUCAAGUCACAUGAACCUAUCUGACUGGAGAGGAGAUCCUCUUCUUAUUCUAUGAAGCUGCAAAUGCCCAUGGAGAAAAUCUGCAGAGGAGUGUGGCCCUCUCCAGUGCCACUUUGGAGUUUCUCAGGAGAUGUGAGCUGGCUACUGGGAAGAGCUCUGACAAGCGUGAGAAAGGCUGUGGCUGGAAAUUGAACGUGUGGCUCUAGGAACCUGGAUGCAGCACAAACAUCCCAAACAUUUUCAAUGGAUUUUAUUUUGUUUAAUAAAAAACACCAACCAAGCUUGCAUGUAUAUCUUAUAUAUAUAAAUAUAUACAGUAUAUAUAAAACAAAUGCAUCUGGACAACGCCUUUCCCUGUGGCGCAAACUGUAAGGCAUAGAAGGGGU